rnacentral:rRNA from 1 species
GAUGAACGCUGGCGGCGUGCCUAAUACAUGCAAGUCGAGCGAACAGAUGAGGAGCUUGCUCCUCUGACGUUAGAGGCGGACGGGUGAGUAACACGUGGAUAACCUACCUAUAAGACUGGGAUAAAUUCGGGAAACCGGAGCUAAUACCGGAUAAUAUAUUGAACCGCAUGGUUCAAUAGUGAAAGACGGUUUUGCUGUCACUUAUAGAUGGAUCCGCGCCGCAUUAGCUAGUUGGUAAGGUAACGGCUUACCAAGGCAACGAUGGGUAGCCGACCUGAGAGGACGACCAGCCACACUGGGACUGUGACACGGACCAGACUACCACGGGAGGGAGCAGUGGGGAAUUUUGGACAAUGGGCGCAAGCCUGAUACAGCCAUGCCGCGUGCAGGAUGAAGGCCUUAGGGUUGUAAACUGCUUUUGUACGGAACGAAAAAGCUCUCUCUAAUACAGGGGGUGAAUGACGGGACCGGAAGAAUAAGCAACGGCUAACUACGUG